AACGAACGCUGGCGGCAUGCCUAACACAUGCAAGUCGAACGAGACCUUCGGGUCUAGUGGCGCACGGGUGCGUAACGCGUGGGAACCUGCCUUUAGGUUCGGAAUAACUCAGAGAAAUUUGAGCUAAUACCGGAUGAUGUCUUCGGACCAAAGAUUUAUCGCCUUUAGAUGGGCCCGCGUUGGAUUAGCUAGUUGGUGGGGUAAAGGCCUACCAAGGCGACGAUCCAUAGCUGGUCUGAGAGGAUGAUCAGCCACACUGGGACUGAGACACGGCCCAGACUCCUACGGGAGGCAGCAGUGGGGAAUAUUGGACAAUGGGCGAAAGACUGAUCCAGCAAUGCCGCGUGAGUGAUGAAGGCCUUAGGGUUGUAAAGCUCUUUUAACCGAGAUGAUAAUGACAGUAUCGGGAGAAUAAGCUCCGGCUAACUCCGUG
rnacentral:rRNA from 1 species